rnacentral:tRNA from 1 species
GUGGGCAUAGCUCAGCUGGUUAGAGCACCAGAUUGUGGAUCUGGGGGUCGCGGGUUCAAGUCCCGUUGCUCACC